UACAGAGGCCUCGAGCGUUAGGCGGAAUCACUGGGCUUAAAGCGUGUGUAGGCGGACGUCUAAGUACCUUGUGAAAUCCCACGGCUCACCCGUGGAACGGCUGGCUAUACUGGUCGUCUUGAGCCUUCUAGGGGCUACCGGAACAAAUGGUGGAGCGGUGAAAUGCGUAGAUAUCAUUUGGAACGCCAAUGGUGAAAACAGGUAGCUGGGGAAGUGCUGACGCUGAGACACGAAAGCCAGGGGAGCGAACGGG
rnacentral:rRNA from 1 species